AACGAACGCUGGCGGCAUGCCUAACACAUGCAAGUCGAACGAGAUCCUUCGGGGUCUAGUGGCGCACGGGUGCGUAACGCGUGGGAAUCUGCCCUUAGGUUCGGAAUAACAGUUAGAAAUGACUGCUAAUACCGGAUGAUGACGUUAAGUCCAAAGAUUUAUCGCCUGAGGAUGAGCCCGCGUAGGAUUAGCUAGUUGGUGUGGUAAAGGCGCACCAAGGCGACGAUCCUUAGCUGGUCUGAGAGGAUGAUCAGCCACACUGGGACUGAGACACGGCCCAGACUCCUACGGGAGGCAGCAGUGGGGAAUAUUGGACCAUGGGCGCAAGCCUGAUCCAGCAAUGCCGCGUGAGUGAUGAAGGCCUUAGGGUUGUAAAGCUCUUUUACCCGAGAUGAUAAUGACAGUAGCGGGAGAAUAAGCCCCGGCUAACUCCGUG
rnacentral:rRNA from 1 species